rnacentral:misc_RNA from 1 species
CUCUAUAUUGUAGAGAGUAACACUUACUCAAUCCAACAGAGAUACUCAUAUGAUCCAUGAAUUUAUGUAUUGACUCAACUCAACCCAUCAAGUCAUCUGAUAAUUAGCUGUCAACUGAGGCCUUGUGUGCGGCUCUGGAAUUAGUUCGGAGUUGCUAAUAUACACAUUAUGAUCUACUUCAAAUUAGUAGUCUUUCAUGUUUAAUAAGUUACCUGAAAUCAGAAUGCAUUUUCCCUGUCCUCAUGCUCUUCUAAUGUAGCCUAAAACUAUUAGCAGCAAAUUUGCAAAUCUCCUUGGUUGUUGAUUACAAUAAUUCUUAAGAUUUUCUCUGCAUGUUUGAUAUGUAACCUACUUGUCUUUAGUCUUCUGCAUGAACUUCAUUUCCUUCUUGUUUUUUCCUUUCACUGUCUGUGCCGAUACUGUAUUUUCCCUGUUUCAUCCUGUUGCUUUUCCUCCCUGUGACAUUUUCCAGUAUCGUGAUUUCUUUUUGUAAUGGUGGUAUUGGGCCAACUUUUGCGCACAUCAACUAUUCCACUGGUACUUGCUAGUUGCUACCUCAUACAGGCACAUGUACCAAGUAACUAUACCUCCUGGGCCGGCCAUGCCUAAACCUUG